UACAGAGGUCCCAAGCGUUGUUCGGAUUCACUGGGCGUAAAGGGUGCGUAGGUGGUGGGGUAAGUCUGAUGUGAAAUCUCCGAGCUCAACUCGGAAAUGGCAUUGGAUACUACUCUGCUAGAGGAUUGGAGGGGAGACUGGAAUUCUUGGUGUAGCAGUGAAAUUCGUAGAUAUUCGGAAGAACACCAGUGGCGAAGGCGACUCACUGGACAUGUAUUGACGCUGAGGUACGAAAGCGUGGGGAGCAAACAGG
rnacentral:rRNA from 1 species